rnacentral:lncRNA from 1 species
UGAGUAUCUUUUUAACUGUUAAUGCACUCCCAUUGAUCAACUGUCCCUAAUAAACCACUCCAUAUCUAGCCUUCACCAAGUUCAUUUUCUUUUCUAGAUUUCUUUCUUGAAGUAAAACACAGUCAAAGAACAGUGAGAAUUAUAAGUGACAAACGAACCAAAAUUGAAAUUAUUGCCCAAACCUUUAUACCAAGAAUAGGUCUCUUUGAUAAUUUCAGUUUAGAAUCCAUUUCCCACAGACAAACCUUGAUAAUNNNNNNNNNNNNNNNNNNNNNNNNNNNNNNNNNNNNNNNNNNNNNNNCACAUAAUUAACUACACAUAUUCAUCAAACAAUUGUGAAAACUAAAAACCAUAAAACACAAACAUUAUAUUUAAAAAAAUACCUAACCUCAAGUGAAAAUCUUGAAAAUCAAUAUCCUUAGAUAUUCUUAGAUAGGGAAUGGUUGAGUUCUAAGGCUUAUAAUGUCUACAUUACUUAGCUAAGAAGCAUAAAAUCUUAACAAUUUGCUGGACACAGUGUUGUUCUUAAUUAUAAUUUUGCAUAUCAACAUUAUUAGCUAGGUUAGUACAACACAUUAUCACAGAAUAUUAAUCAUGCAUGAUGAAUAUGUAGAAAUGUUAAAUGGCCUACACACAUACAACAUGCCCAAGGAUAUAAUAAGGAAAAAAAAAAUCAUACCUCUUAUAUACACUAUCAUCAAUGCACCAUGAGCCUAUAUUUUUUGCAAUCUUUCUCAAUCUUCAUCAAACACAAACCUUCAAUACCAAUCUGUACCUGAAAUCUAGAAAUAGAGUUGGAUUAUAAUAUAAGAUAAAAUUGAAACACCCAACUAGUAAUAAUGUACAACAAGUGUAAAUAGUAAUGGAAAAAAAAGAACACAAAACUAAAAAAAUAUAUAAUUUUAGCAUUGAGAUAGAAGAAACCACACAGUAGAUUAAUCUUCAUUGAGUUUUAAAAAAAUUAAGCCUGCUACUGAUAGCAUUGCAAACAGCUACAAGACACUUUGGCAUUUCAUCAAACAGUUGGAGGACAGUUAAAAGCAUUGUAAAUGAAUACCUAUCAGGGCAUUGGAUUGUUGCGAUACUAUGGGUGAUGGUCACAAUAUCACUAACAACUAAAUUGAAAAUGGCAGAUAAUGGAAGAAAAGCACAAGAAUUAAUCACAUAAGUGGUAACCUUAAAAUUGUGAAUCAAGUGGAAAUUUACCUGUAGCAACACACUACUAG